AACAUCUAAGUACCCCGAGGAAAAGAAAUCAACCGAGAUUCCGAAAGUAGCGGCGAGCGAAAUUGGACUAGCCCUUAAGCUUUACACGCGUUAGACGAACGGUCUGGAAAGUCCGACGAUACAGGGUGAUAGUCCCGUAGUUGACGACGUGUGUUCAGUGAAAUCGAGUAGGGCGGGACACGUGAUAUCCUGUCUGAAUAUGGGGGGACCAUCCUCCAAGGCUAAAUACUACUGACUGACCGAUAGUGAACCAGUACCGUGAGGGAAAGGCGAAAAGAACCCCUGUGAGGGGAGUGAAAUAGAACCUGAAACCGUGUACGUACAAGCAGUAGGAGCAGGCUUUGUCCUGUGACUGCGUACCUUUUGUAUAAUGGGUCAGCGACUUAUAUUCAGUGGCAAGGUUAACCAUCUAGGGGAGCCGUAGGGAAACCGAGUCUUAACUGGGCGUUCAGUCUCUGGAUAUAGACCCGAAACCAGGUGAUCUAGCCAUGGGCAGGUUGAAGGUUGAGUAACAUCAACUGGAGGACCGAACCGACUAAUGUUGAAAAAUUAGCGGAUGACUUGUGGCUAGGGGUGAAAGGCCAAUCAAACCUGGAGAUAGCUGGUUCUCCCCGAAAGCUAUUUAGGUAGCGCCUCGGACGAAUACUACUGGGGGUAGAGCACUGUUAAGGCUAGGGGGUCAUCCCGACUUACCAACCCUUUGCAAACUCCGAAUACCAGUAAGUACUAUCCGGGAGACACACGGCGGGUGCUAACGUCCGUCGUGGAGAGGGAAACAACCCAGACCGCCAGCUAAGGUCCCAAAUUACUACUAAGUGGGAAACGAUGUGGGAAGGCUCAGACAGCCAGGAUGUUGGCUUAGAAGCAGCCAUCAUUUAAAGAAAGCGUAAUAGCUCACUGGUCGAGUCGGCCUGCGCGGAAGAUGUAACGGGGCUAAGUAGUAAACCGAAGCUGCGGCAAUAUACUUUUGUAUAUUGGGUAGGGGAGCGUUCUGUAAGCGGUUGAAGGUGUGUGGUAACGCAUGCUGGACGUAUCAGAAGUGCGAAUGCUGACAUGAGUAACGAUAAAGGGGGUGAAAAACCUCCUCGCCGGAAGACCAAGGGUUCCUGUCCAACGUUAAUCGGGGCAGGGUAAGUCGACCCCUAAGGCGAGGCCGAAAGGCGUAGUCGAUGGGAAACGGGUUAAUAUUCCCGUACUUCUUACAAUUGCGAUGGGGGGACGGAGAAGGCUAGGUGGGCCUGGCGACGGUUGUC
rnacentral:rRNA from 1 species